rfam:Triticum aestivum genome assembly, contig: Triticum_aestivum_CS42_TGACv1_scaffold_001669_1AL
GGUUUCGUGGUGUAGUUGGUUAUCACGUCAGUCUAACACACCGGAAGGUCUCCGGUUCGAACCCGGGCGAAGCCA